rnacentral:rRNA from 1 species
ACUCAAUAGAUACCCGGGUAGUCCACGCCGUAAACGAUGAGUGCUAAGUGUUAGAGGGUUUCCGCCCUUUAGUGCUGCAGCUAAACGCAUUAAGCACUCCGCCUGGGGAGUACGGUCGCAAGACUGAAACUCAAAGGAAUUGACGGGGGCCCGCACAAGCGGUGGAGCAUGUGGUUUAAUUCGAAGCAACGCGAAGAACCUUACCAGGUCUUGACAUCCUCUGACAACUCUAGAGAUAGAGCGUUCCCCUUCGGGGGACAGAGUGACAGGUGGUGCAUGGUUGUCGUCAGCUCGUGUCGUGAGAUGUUGGGUUAAGUCCCGCAACGAGCGCAACCCUUGAUCUUAGUUGCCAGCAUUUAGUUGGGCACUCUAAGGUGACUGCCGGUGACAAACCGGAGGAAGGUGGGGAUGACGUCAAAUCAUCAUGCCCCUUAUGACCUGGGCUACACACGUGCUACAAUGGAUGGUACAAAGGGCUGCAAGACCGCGAGGUCAAGCCAAUCCCAUAAAACCAUUCUCAGUUCGGAUUGUA